rnacentral:rRNA from 1 species
CCUACGGGAGGCAGCAGUGGGGGAUAUUGCACAAUGGGGGGAACCCUGAUGCAGCGACGCCGCGUGGGUGAAGAAGCGCCUCGGCGCGUAAAGCCCUGUCAGCAGGGAAGAAAAUGACGGUACCUGAAGAAGAAGCCCCGGCUAACUACGUGCCAGCAGCCGCGGUAAUACGUAGGGGGCAAGCGUUAUCCGGAUUUACUGGGUGUAAAGGGGGCGCAGACGGGGAUGCAAGCCAGGAGGGAAAGCCCGGGGCCCAACCCCGGGACUGCUCUUGGAACUGGGUGGCUGGAGUGCAGGAGGGGCAGGCGGAAUGCCUGGUGUAGCGGUGAAAUGCGUAGAUAUCAGGAGGAACACCGAUGGCGAAGGCAGCAUGCUGGACUGCAACUGACGUUGAGGCCCGAAAGCGUGGGGAGCGAACAGGAUUAGAUACCCGUGUAGUC